rnacentral:pre_miRNA from 1 species
AGGAAGAAUAGCCCCAGUGGCGGGGCCAGCUCUGGAGCCCUGGAGUCAGCCCCUUCAGUAACCACAGAGCUCUCCGUCUGCAGGGCUUGUUGGCUCCGGGCGGGG